rnacentral:rRNA from 1 species
UACGUAGGGGGCAAGCGUUGUCCGGAUUUAUUGGGCGUAAAGGGCGCGUAGGCUGCGGGGCAAGUCGGGUGUGAAAUCUCAGAGCUCAACUCUGAAACUGCACUCGAUACUGCUUUGCUCGAGGACUGGAGAGGAGAUUGGAAUUCACGGUGUAGCAGUGAAAUGCGUAGAUAUCGUGAGGAAGACCAGUGGCGAAGGCGGAUCUCUGGACAGUUCCUGACGCUGAGGCGCGAAGGCCAGGGGAGCAAACGGG